rnacentral:lncRNA from 1 species
UGACCGGAGCUCGCGUCCUGCCGCAGUCUCUCCGCUGCUAGUCUGAGCGAGUGCGACGGAGGAGACCCCCGUCCGGGCACCGCACUUGCAGCCCCAGCAACUCCCACCCGCGAUCGCGGCUCCCCGACUCCCAAACGCCUCCUGCAGCCCGCGUGGGUCAGCGUGGGAGAGCUUCCCGGUCUCCACGGCCGGAUUGCGAACUUGGAGAGGACCUCGACUGUCUCCCCGGCCUGGAGAGUGAACAGGGUAGUGAACUCUUCUGAUUGACGAUGACACAGUGAAACUAAAGGCCACCACCAAAACUAUCCGCUCGCAUCCCGAGUCUGAACAUUAAACCUGUUUCCACCAGCCAUGGCUAAGAGCGCAGAGGUCAAGCUGGCCAUAUUUGGAAGAGCAGGCGUGGGCAAAUCAGCGAUUGUGGUGAGAUUUCUGACCAAAAACGUCAGGGUUUCUCGUGGUUCCCGAUCCAGUAAAUGCUGGGAAAUUCUCGAGUGUCUUCUGCAGCCCCGUGCUGGGACAGUCUCUCUCUUCCCUGCUUGCGUAGGAUCGGUGCUAGUGUAGUUUGAAGAUGUAACCACCAAAGACGUUGAAGUGGCUGGGUUCGCGGAAGCUAAUUUUAGGGUAUCUCUGCCUGCUUAAAUAAGCUGCAAGUCUUUUCAAAGGCAUUUUAAGAUUCCGAAUGUCUGGUGAGAAGGUUAGCAGAGCGAUUCGAAUGGGAAACAGAAUUCUAGUUCCCAUUCGAAGUGAGGAUUUUUUUUAUAUCGUUAUUGUUAUUAUCUUACUUAAAUUAUGGGGCUUUCCUUUAACACUUUAUUUCAUUUUUAGGUUGAAAUGGUAUCACUGACUUUGGCUUUGUGAUGUAAUUGCCCAUUUCAGUUCAAGUUGGUUCUCUCUCAGCGAUCUACAGCAGUCCUUAGGCACCAUAUUCUAUUAUUUCCUUAAUAACAAAAGAAACAGGACCCACAAUUCGUUCCCUCCUGUGGCUUUGCUCCCCCAAACCUGGGUGAUAAGAAAAAGAAAAAAACAAAACAACAACAACAAC